AACCUAAUAAUUACACUUUACCGUUUUACACAACUCACGUUCCAAAAGCAGACAUAAACAAAACUCAAAAACUAGACCUUCAAUGGCGAAACAAACACUACAACACAAAAACUAGUGUUUGAAUUCGAAUUCAAUUCAUCAAAUGGCAAACAACACCACCGCGGCGGCUACCACCUCCUCCUCCGUGAAAUCGAAGAAGGAGAGCCAGGGGCUCCUUCUAGGCCGAUACGAGAUCGGAAAGCUCCUCGGCCAUGGUACCUUCGCGAAGGUCUACCAUGCUCGGAACAUCAAAACGAACGAAAGUGUUGCCAUCAAAGUCAUCGACAAAGAGAAAAUCCUCAAAGGCGGUCUAAUUGCGCACAUCAAGCGCGAGAUCUCGAUCCUCCGCCGCGUUCGCCAUCCGAACAUCGUCCAAUUGUUUGAAGUAAUGGCCACGAAGACAAAAAUCUACUUUGUAAUGGAGUUCGUCAGAGGCGGUGAGCUCUUCAACAAGGUCGCCAAAGGUCGGUUGAAGGAGGAAGUCGCAAGAAAGUACUUCCAGCAGCUGAUUUCCGCCGUCGGAUUUUGCCACGCGCGAGGCGUGUACCACCGAGACCUCAAGCCUGAAAAUUUAUUGUUAGACGAUAACGGAGACCUCAAGGUCUCGGAUUUCGGACUCAGCGCCGUGUCGGAUCAGAUUCGGCAGGACGGACUCUUCCACACCUUCUGCGGAACGCCGGCGUACGUGGCGCCGGAGGUCUUGGCGAGGAAGGGGUACGAUGCGGCCAAGGUCGAUAUUUGGUCCUGUGGAGUCAUCCUCUUUGUGUUGAUGGCUGGAUAUUUACCAUUUCAUGACCAGAACAUCAUGCAAAUGUAUAAGAAGAUAUAUAAAGGCGAAUUUCGAUGCCCUAGGUGGUUUUCGCCGGAGCUUAGUCGGCUAUUAACUCAUCUUCUUGAUACCAAUCCGGAGACUCGGAUCACAAUUCCGGAGAUUAUGAACAAGAAAUGGUUUAAGAAAGGGUUUAAGCAUAUAAAGUUCUAUAUUGAGGAUGAUAGGUUAUGUAGUGUUCCUGACGACGUUGAUGAUGGUAUGGAGUCUUCUUCCGAUUUGUCUGAAUCUGAGUCGGAAAUGGAGAGCCGGAGGAGAAUUGGGCAUUUGCCGAGACCUGCGAGCUUGAAUGCAUUUGAUAUUAUAUCGUUUUCGCCUGGAUUUGAUUUGUCUGGGUUGUUUGAGGAGGGCGGAGAUGAUGCGAGGUUUGUGUCUGGGGCGCCGGUGUCGAAGAUCAUAUCCAAAUUGGAGGAGAUUGCGAAGGUGGUUAGUUUUUCAGUGAGGAAGAAGGAUUGCAGGGUGAGUUUGGAGGGGUCAAGGGAGGGAGUGAAGGGGCCGUUGACAAUUGCGGCGGAGAUAUUCGAAUUGACGCCGUCUUUGGUGGUGGUGGAGGUGAAGAAGAAAGGAGGGGAUAAAGGAGAGUAUGAGGAGUUUUGCAAUCGAGAAUUGAAGCCCGGGUUGGAAAAUCUCAUGCUGGAAGAGAUUGCAGCUCCUUCUAAUUUGCCUUUGGAUGCUGAAUAUCUCAUGCUGGAAGAGAUUGCAGCUCCUUCUAUUUUGCCUUCGGAUACUGAAUGAAGACAGAAAGGAGAGAAAAGGGUAUGCCCACUCUCUAUCUCUCUCCUUUGCCACAGCUUCGGUAUGAUAAUGGUUCGGUUUGAAAACAUUAGCUUCUCACUAAUGGAGGCAAAGUCCCACCUUGUCCCAGUGGCGAUCUGACCAAAAUGCGAACAACUUGCUCUCAACAAUUGCAGUAGCUGCACCAGGUACACGUAUAUGACACGCUCAGAGUCGGGGCCCUAUCGGUGUGUUUGUGGAAUCACAUAACAAAAUCUGUACCACAUAUGUAAGAUAGUUUCUUAUCUUAAAGAGAAAUGUACGACAUUACUUUUUCUUUCAAAUCUACCUUAUCUGUCUCCUGUCUUCCGUCUUCGGAGCAAUAAUGUACCUCAUUUGGAAUUCAGUUUACAAUGUGGCUAAGCCCAGUGCAGGAAUGGUUGAAGUAAAAUGCCCUAAUUAUUUUAUGA